AAGAGAAUAUUUAUUCAUUGCAAUGAGUCAAAGGGCUACCAUUGUGUAGUGCUUCCUCUUAAAAUCUUCCAUAUGAGUAACAUUAACCAUUGGUGGAUAAUUUAUUAGUGGAUUACAGGGUGUCUGAAGGGAGAGAAAUGUUAUAUGGUCAUAUGGAUAAAAAUAAAAUGUAGAUAAAUACAUAACUGUAAAGAGCUAACCAUGUUAGCAGCAAAGGGAAGCUGUGUAUUUAGCUAUAUUUUCUCAAGGGUGUGGCUACACGUUUUUGUUUGUCGCCAGUGUGUUCACUGGUCAUGUAUAUUCUAAGAUCUAUAUUUUCAUUUAUAUGAAUGACAAAUGUAAACAAAUGUAAAUGUCUAUAGUUUAAUAAAUAGCCUAUUUCUUGCCAUUGACAUUAGCUGUUUACUGUUUGAAAUUAGCUGACCCAGUGUUAACAAGCUUAGUUGCUAAUGACAAUUUAAGGUGACCAUCUUAGCAACAAAUGGAAGCUGUUUAUUUUGCUAUAUUUUGGCAAAAAAAAUUUUUUUUUUGCUUAUGAACUGUGUUGAAGUGGAUUAUGGUGCAGGAGUGCCCUUGGAUUUAUGCUACUUCUCUUUUUCCAUAAUCCAGGCUAACUAGAGCUGUCAUCCACCAGGGAAAAACUGGACCACCUUUUCAGAAUCACAAUUGUUGUUGAUGUCACCUGAAUGUCUCCUAUCCCCAUGUCUCUUUGGACGUCAUAGCGGACCACAAAGUCUCCCAGGAUGCCGUUGGUCGUGAUCUUGGCCUGCUGGACGAUGUUGGGGCUAAAGGUGCAUUUGCAGUGUUGCUCCUCCCGUUGCGGAGUGGCAGCACCUCCAGGUCUGUGAUUAGGGAGUGGUCGACGAUGGUGAUGUCCAGGCUGAGGCGGCUGACCAGCUGCAGCGGGCGCAGGCUGGUUACAUGCUCGUAGCGUCCCAGGCGGCGCUGCAGAAGCUCCUCGUAGGCCCAUUAUCUCUAAGUUCUCCCUGCCGCUCAGUUGAGCUGCAGGACUCUUACAUGGUGAAGUUGGAGACGUAAGCGUCAGCGGGGAUCUGAAACUGGAAGACGCCCUCGGUGGCUGCGGAGUGUCGGUUGAGCAUGGCGCAG